rnacentral:misc_RNA from 1 species
AUAUAAGUGAUUAGAUUGUAAUAUUCACUUGGCUAGUCAUUUUGAUAUAUAAAAUAAUCUAAUAACUUAUAUAAACCUAAAUUAAAGUGUAAUUUAUCUAAUACUCUCUUAAAUUUAAUAUAGUAUCAGAGUCUCAACUGUGUUGUGGACAUCUGUAAGGCUGUAUAAUUGGAUCCAUAUUAGGGGGAGUGUUAGGAUUAUAAAUCCCAUAUCGGAAAAGUAUAGACAUAAAAACUUAAAUAUAAAUGGUUAGAUUGUA